UACGUAGGGUGCAAGCGUUGUCCGGAAUUAUUGGGCGUAAAGAGCUCGUAGGUGGUUUGUCGCGUUGUUCGUGAAAUGCCACAGCUUAACUGUGGGCGUGCGGGCGAUACGGGCAGACUGGAGUACUGCAGGGGAGACUGGAAUUCCUGGUGUAGCGGUGGAAUGCGCAGAUAUCAGGAGGAACACCGGUGGCGAAGGCGGGUCUCUGGGCAGUAACUGACGCUGAGGAGCGAAAGCGUGGGGAGCGAACAGG
rnacentral:rRNA from 1 species